CCUGCACACACAAACCCAAAGGUCAUUUCCUGCCGGUGUCAUGCCCUUGCCCUGUGUGCGGACAGAAAAGCCGAACCUUGUCGCCUUUAGUAGGCUGUGAACGUGCCGCUGAAAGUGAAUUCAAGGUGCGACACGC